rnacentral:rRNA from 1 species
CGCCUCUUGUAUAAAUAAAAAUAAGAGGUCCCGCCUGCCCUGUGACCAUGUGUUUAACGGCCGCGGUAUUUUGACCGUGCAAAGGUAGCGCAAUCACUUGUCUUUUAAAUGAAGACCUGUAUGAAUGGCAUAACGAGGGCUUAACUGUCUCCUUUCUCCAGUCAAUGAAAUUGAUCUCCCCGUGCAGAAGCGGGGAUACCCCCAUAAGACGAGAAGACCCUAUGGAGCUUUAGACACAAAAUAGACCACGUUAAUCACCCUCCUAUAAAAGAUAAAACUAAUUGGACCCUAUUUACAUGUCUUUGGUUGGGGCGACCGCGGGGAAACAAAAAACCCCCAUGUGGAUCAAGAGCACAAGACUCCUAAAACUAAGAGCCACAGCUCUAAGCAACAGAACUUCUGACCAUUAAGAUCCGGCUAUGCGCCGAUCAACGGACCGAGUUACCCUAGGGAUAACAGCGCAAUCCCCUUCUAGAGCCCAUAUCGACAAGGGGGUUUACGACCUCGAUGUUGGAUCAGGACAUCCUAAUGGUGCAGCCGCUAUUAAGGGUUCGUUUGUUCAACGAUUAAAGUCCU